rnacentral:rRNA from 1 species
GAUGAACGCUGGCGGCGUGCCUAAUACAUGCAAGUCGAGCGGUAAGACGCGUAGCUUGCCUCUCGGAUGUUAGCGGCGGGAGGGAUACUAACACGCGGAUAACCUAGCUAUAAAACAGGGAUAGCUUCCGGAACCAGGAGCUAAUACCGGCUGAGGUUUUGAACCGCAUGGUUCAAAAGAGAAAGACGGUUUUGCUCUCACUUAUAGCUGAAGCCGCGCUGCAUUAGCUAGUUGGUAAGGUAACGGCCUACCAAGGCAACGAUGCAUAGCCGACCUGAGAGGGUGACCGGCCACACUGGGACUGAGACACGGCCCAGACUCCUACGGGAGGCAGCAGUGGGGAAUCUUCCGCAAUGGGCGAAAGCCUGAUGGAGCAACGCCGCGUGCGUGAUGAAGGUCUUCGGAUUGUAAAACGCUGUUGGUAGGGACGAACAGAUGUCUAAUUAACUGUGCACAUCUUGACGGUACCUAAUCAAAAAGCACCGGCUAACUACGUG